UGGCGGAAUGCUUUACACAUGCAAGUCGAACGGCAGCACGGGGCAACCUGGUGGCGAGUGGCGAACGGGUGAGUAAUACAUCGGAACGUGCCCAAUCGUGGGGGAUAACGUAGCGAAAGUUACGCUAAUACCGCAUACGAUCUACGGAUGAAAGCGGGGGACCGUAAGGCCUCGCGCGAUUGGAGCGGNCGAUAUCAGAUUAGGUAGUUGGUGGGGUAAAGGCUCACCAAGCCGACGAUCUGUAGCUGGUCUGAGAGGACGACCAGCCACACUGGAACUGAGACACGGUCCAGACUCCUACGGGAGGCAGCAGUGGGGAAUUUUGGACAAUNGGNGCAAGNCUGAUCCAGCCAUUCCGCGUGCAGGAUGAAGGCCCUCGGGUUGUAAACUGC
rnacentral:rRNA from 1 species